rnacentral:rRNA from 1 species
UACGUAGGGUGCGAGCGUUAAUCGGAAUUACUGGGCGUAAAGCGUGCGCAGGCGGCCCCGCAAGUCAGACGUGAAAUCCCCGAGCUUAACUUGGGAAUGGCGUUUGAAACUAUGGGGCUGGAGUGUGGCAGAGGGAGGUAGAAUUCCACGUGUAGCGGUGAAAUGCGUAGAUAUGUGGAGGAAUACCGAUGGCGAAGGCAGCCUCCUGGGCCAACACUGACGCUCAUGCACGAAAGCGUGGGGAGCAAACAGG